rnacentral:tRNA from 1 species
GGAGGCGCUCGACAGGCUGGUGCCGUCCCCGGUCUUCAAAACCGGUGUGGGGCAGGAUGCUGUCCCGUGCGGGUUCGAUUCCCGUGCGCCUCCG